UACGAAGGGGGCUAGCGUUGUUCGGAAUUACUGGGCGUAAAGCGCACGUAGGCGGAAUGUUAAGUCAGGGGUGAAAUCCUGGAGCUCAACUCCAGAACUGCCUUUGAUACUGAGGAUCUUGAGUACGGGAGAGGUGAGUGGAACUGCGAGUGUAGAGGUGAAAUUCGUAGAUAUCCGCAAGAACACCAGUGGCGAAGGCGGCUCACUGGCCCGUUACUGACGCUGAGGCACGAAAGCGUGGGGAGCAAACAGG
rnacentral:rRNA from 1 species